rnacentral:rRNA from 1 species
GAAGGCCCAGACAGCCAGGAUGUUGGCUUAGAAGCAGCCAUCAUUUAAAGAAAGCGUAAUAGCUCACUGGUCGAGUCGGCCUGCGCGGAAGAUGUAACGGGGCUAAACCAUGCACCGAAGCUGCGGCAGCGACACUGUGUGUUGUUGGGUAGGGGAGCGUUCUGUAAGCCUGUGAAGGUGUACUGUGAGGUAUGCUGGAGGUAUCAGAAGUGCGAAUGCUGACAUAAGUAACGAUAAAGCGGGUGAAAAGCCCGCUCGCCGGAAGACCAAGGGUUCCUGUCCAACGUUAAUCGGGGCAGGGUGAGUCGACCCCUAAGGCGAGGCCGAAAGGCGUAGUCGAUGGGAAACAGGUUAAUAUUCCUGUACUUGGUGUUACUGCGAAGGGGGGACGGAGAAGGCUAUGUUGGCCGGGCGACGGUUGUCCCGGUUUAAGCGUGUAGGCUGGUUUUCCAGGCAAAUCCGGAAAAUCAAGGCUGAGGCGUGAUGACGAGGCACUACGGUGCUGAAGCAACAAAUGCCCUGCUUCCAGGAAAAGCCUCUAAGCAUCAGGUAACAUUAAAUCGUACCCCAAACCGACACAGGUGGUCAGGUAGAGAAUACCAAGGCGCUUGAGAGAACUCGGGUGAAGGAACUAGGCAAAAUGGUGCCGUAACUUCGGGAGAAGGCACGCUGAUAUGUAGGUGAAGUCCCUCG